AUUCAAAUGACGAGUCUCAAAUAGGACGAAAAUCACAUGCUUUGAAU
rnacentral:hammerhead_ribozyme from 1 species